GACGAACGCUGGCGGCGUGCUUAACACAUGCAAGUCGAACGAUGAAGCCGGAGCUUGCUCUGGUGAAUUAGUGGCGAACGGGUGAGUAACACGCGAGUAACCUGCCCUUGACUCUGGGAUAACUGCUAGAAAUGGUAGCUAAUACCGGAUACGACCCUCGGAGGCAUCUCCAGGGGGUGGAAAGAAUUUCGGUCAAGGAUGGACUCGCGGCCUAUCGGCUAGUUGGGGAGGUAACGGCUCACCAAGGCGACGACGGGUAGCCGGCCUGAGAGGGUGACCGGCCACACUGGGACUGAGACACGGCCCAGACUCCUACGGGAGGCAGCAGUGGGGAAUAUUGCACAAUGGGCGCAAGCCUGAUGCAGCAACGCCGCGUGAGGGAUGACGGCCUUCGGGUUGUAAACCUCUUUUAGUAGGGAAGAAGCGAAAGUGACGGUACCUGCAGAAAAAGCACCGGCUAACUACGUGCCAGCAGCCGCCGUAA
rnacentral:rRNA from 1 species